rnacentral:rRNA from 1 species
GAUGAACGCUGGCGGCGUGCCUAAUACAUGCAAGUCGAGCGAACAGACGAGGAUCUUGCUCCUCUCUCGUUAGCGGCAGACGUGUGUGUAACACGUGUAUAACCUACCUAUAAUACUGGUAUAACUUCGGGAAACCGGAUCUAAUACCGUAGAAUAUAUUGAACCGUAGUGUUCAAUAGUGAAAGUCGGUUGUUCGGGCACUUAUAGAUGCAUACGGGCCGCAUUAGCUAGUUGGUAAGGUAACAGCUUACCAAGGCAACGAGGCGUAGCCGACGUGAGAGAGGGAUAGGCCACACUGGAAGUGAGACACGGUCCAGACGACUACGGGAGGCAGCAGUAGGGAACGUGCCGCAAUGGGCGAAAGCAUGACGGAGCAACGCGGAGUGAGUGAUGAAGGUCUUGGGAUCGUAAAACUCUGUUAUUAGGGAAGAACCAAUGUGUAAGUAAAUAUGCACGUCUUGACGGUAACUAAUCAGAAAGCAACGGCUAACUACGUG